UACAGAGGUCUCAAGCGUUGUUCGGAUUCAUUGGGCGUAAAGGGUGCGUAGGCGGCGCGGUAAGUCGGGUGUGAAAUCUCGGAGCUUAACUCCGAAACUGCAUUCGAUACUGCUGCGCUUGAGGACUGGAGAGGAGACUGGAAUUUACGGUGUAGCGGUGAAAUGCGUAGAUAUCGUAAGGAAGACCAGUGGCGAAGGCGGGUCUCUGGACAGUUCCUGACGCUGAGGCACGAAGGUCAGGGGAGCAAACGGG
rnacentral:rRNA from 1 species